UACAGAGGGUGCGAACGUUGCUCGGAAUUACUGGGCGUAAAGCGCGUGUAGGCGGGUGAUCAAGUCAGGUGUGAAAUCCCCAGGCUCAACCUGGGAACUGCACUUGAAACUGGUCGCCUUGAGUGUUGGAGAGGGAAGCGGAAUUCCUGGUGUAGAGGUGAAAUUCGUAGAUAUCAGGAGGAACACCGGUGGCGAAGGCGGCUUCCUGGACAAUUACUGACGCUGAGACGCGAAAGCGUGGGGAGCAAACAGG
rnacentral:rRNA from 1 species